rfam:Schistosoma haematobium scaffold509_35, whole genome shotgun sequence.
UCACUGCUGACGAGUCCAAAAUAGGACGAAACGGCCAUCCAGUAC